GAAUAUUGGACAAUGGGCGCAAGCCUGAUCCAGCAACGCCGCGUGGAGGAUGAAGGUCUUCGGAUCGUAAACUCCUGUCAGACGGGACGAAGGUCUGGGGGUGAAUAAUCCUCAGGCUUGACGGUACUGUCAGAGGAAGCCCCGGCUAACUCCGUGCCAGCAGCCGCGGUAAUACGGAGGGGGCGAGCGUUAUUCGGAAUUAUUGGGCGUAAAGGGCGCGUAGGCGGCUCGAUAAGUCAAAGGUGAAAUCCCUCGGCUCAACUGAGGAACUGCCUUUGAAACUGUCGAGCUUGAGUCCGGGAGGGGGUAGCGGAAUUCCCAGUGUAGCGGUGAAAUGCGUAGAUAUUGGGAGGAACACCAGUGGCGAAGGCGGCUACCUGGACCGGAACUGACGCUGAUGCGCGAAAGCGUGGGUAGCAAACAGG
rnacentral:rRNA from 1 species